UUACUUUUUGCAUCAGCAUUUUAAUACUUGCCUCUCUAUUUCCAUCUGCUCCAUUGUUUUUGUUAGUUUUUUCUUUAUAUUUAUUUUCUUUAGAGACACGAUACAUUUUAGUUAAACUCUGGCAGCCUUAUAGUAAGAGCCAUGAACUAGGAAUUUUACCUGAGUUUGAACCCUGGCUCUUUACUUACUAACUGCAUGAUGUUGGGCAGUGCUCUUAACCUUUCUCAAUCUUUUUACUCAUUGGUAAAAUGGUGAUGGUAAUAUUCAUCUUGCUCACCGGGUUUUCUGAGGAUUAAAUAAAAUCAUUUAUUUUAAAACUAUUUUGUAAACAGGAAGGGAUGAGGGAUGGCAUAAUUGUAAUUUUUUAAAAGUUUAUUACGAACAGCUAUUGAUAUAGCCUUGCAAUACAUUAGUUCUUUUUUUUUUUGAAUGAGGAGUUAAAUGCAGAUUAUGUUAAGACCAUUUAUGGAUCUGUCUGCUGUAGAUAUAUAUUUUUUUCUGUUUAGGUGUGAGUGAAUGCCUUGAUCUUUAUUUUAUUUGAGGUAUGUGAAAUCUCAUAAUAUUAGAAUUGAAUAGUCCUAAGUCCCCAGUAGACCAAGGCACAAUGGUUGUAUAGUUUGAUCUAGUUGCUGAGCCAGACUAGAAUUUGUGUCUCCUAUUUCUAGUCCAUGGCUCUUUCCAUUCUGAAGAUUACAAAGGAAAUUCACAUCGAAGGUAAAUAAAAACAUCCAGUAAGGUAAACAAAACAUCCAGUGAGAUAGCUAACCUGCUGUCAUCACUUAUUCUUAAGUAUACUAUUUCCCUCAUUUACUUUGUUAAACUUAAAUCUGAAUAUCAUUCUAUACAUCAGACCUUCCUCUUGGGCAUCUCACUGUUAUUUCAGGUAUAACAUGCCUAAAAUGAACUAUUUCCCACAUAAAUUAACUUCUCCUACUCCCUACUUAGGUGAUACUUUCAUUUUCUAAACUGUGUAGUCUGAACUCCUCAAAACUCAUGUAAUCGUAUUUGUAGUUCAUUUCUUUUUCUCUUCUCUGCAGAGUCCCUGACCUCUAAUGGUAGUGUCUGAGCUGGCAUCUUGAAAUUUCCCUUCUUUAUUUACAUGUGUCACCAUUCUGUUGUCAGACUUAAUGUUAAUUCAUUAUAGAAACUUUGAAUUUCUCAGCAAAAUUACUUUACUUGAUUUACAGCUCAUCCAUAUUUCAGUUAUUGUGGUUCGGUUUUGCUCUAGGGUUUCCUUUCUACACUGGGGAAUACUUUUCUACUUACCUUGCCCUUUUCUGCCUCCCUGCUCCCCUGUCCCCUUUUUGGUGGUAAUUUUUCUGGAUUACAUUUCCCCCUUUCUAACUUAAGUUCUAUUUGUUCUUUAGAGAUUAAAAAUCUCUUCUAACAUUUUCCAUGAAACCACCAUGUGGUGUAUCUCCUCUCCAUUUUUGUGUAUUUUAGUCUAUUCUAUUAAUGUUUACUUUGAUUAUAUUUAUCCUUCUUGAUAAUAAGUAUAUUAGGAAUUGAAAAGAACACACUGUAAGAUCUGCUAUACUUGUUUAUUGAUGAGCAAUUCUGGAGAUAUUUAAAUGCCCAGUUGUAUUCAGGAUCUGUUUAUAUCAAGAUUUAGACUCUGGAAUUGAAGUUUAUACUAAGCUUUCACAAAAUUUUAGCAGUGUGCUUUGAUGUGGUUUUCUUUAUUUUUUAAGGUCUUUCAUUUAGCAGUAGAAUAAAAUUUGGGUUUGAGAGUAUAUAUUAAUAUAUAUUAUACUAAUAUAGUAACCACUAAUUGAAUUUGUAAAAAAAAAAAAACAAAAAAACAACACUAAUGAGAAUAGGCUAUUUGUGGAAAAAAUUAUUAAUAGCAAAAAUCUUAAGGAAAACAGUUACUUAAAAGAAUGUAACAUAUAUAGUCAUCUUCAGUGAAUGUAUUUGCAGAAUAAUAUUUUUGUAUUCUUGGUUGUUUCUGUUCUACCCAAUAGAGGGUUUUGGUUCAGAAUCCUUAGAGGGCAAAGAUCCAGAGAAUCUUAGGAAGAUGAGAAGAAUGUUUCCCAUCAUCGAAUAUUAUUUAAAAGGUUUUAAUUUCUUUUUCCUAAAUUGAAAUCAGGAGAAAGUUCAAAGCUAGUAUUUGUACAAUAUCCUCUGUCAUUGUUAAAGUGAAUGAAUAUAUAAAUGAAACUUUUACAACCUUCUUGUAAAUGAUAACCAUUAAUCCUUUAGUAAUUGUUAUUUAUUCUAAGAUUACAUUUUUGUGAGAAGGCUGGGAGAGAGGAAACUUAAACCUAAUUGAUAAAGAUAUUGCAAUCGGUAUUAAGUAUUAUUUGAGUAGAUUUGAUCAUUGAAGUGAUGUUUGAGUGUUUCUGCUUAGUCUACAGAGACUUAUGAAGAAUAAAGGUUGGUGGGUGUUUACCAUCCUUGUUAGUUUUUUUUUUUUAAACUUAAAGUGUUCAAAUUAAAGUUUUAGAUAUCAAAUUUAUGAUACCAAGUUUAGUAGUAUAUUUUUUAGUCAAAAAAUAAGUCUUGAUCCCUUUGUAUUGUGAUACAUUAACAUUAGUAUCAAGGAAAAUUGUCUAGUAUAAUUGAAAGAACAUUACAAGAGUUCAGCUGUUGAUUUAGUAACUGGCAUUAUAUGUGAUGGUGAAAAAGUUUUAUUCUGUAUGCCUAACUAUAAAAUUCAGUUGUUUUCAUGACCCUUCGAUUCAUUCAUUCAUUCAUUCAUUCAUUCAUUCAUUCAUUCAUUUUUUGUGCUGGGAAUUGAACCCAGGUGUGCCUAACCAUGGAGCCAAAUCCCCAUCCGUUUUUAAAUGUUUUUUUUUAGAGAAAGGGUCUUGCUGAGUUGCUAAGUGCCUUGCUAAAUUGCUGAGGCUGUCUUUGAACUUGAGAUCCUCCUGCCUCAGCCUCCUGAGCCUCUGGGAUUACAGGUGUGCGCCACUGUGCCUGGUGACCCUUUGAUUUUUAAAUUUGAUUAUUUUUAAUAUAGUUUUCCUACUUUAAGUGAAAAGAUUAGGGAGAUUUAUGUUGUUUUGUUGGGUUUUUUCCUUUCAUAACUGUUACUGGCCAUUUUUAAUUUUAACUUUUUAGUGCAUCAUCCUUUUUAGGAUAAUUACCUGGAUUAUUUUUUCUUACAGGAAAAUAUGAUUUAUUUGGAAAUAUUUGCUGAACUUUCUGGGAAAUAAGCUAUUGUAGCAAAAAUCAACUAUUGACUAUAUACAUUUUUUUCUUUGAUAUUUAUUAAAGUACUUCCUUGUAAAAUUGUUAAGCCUUUUGCUUCUUUUAAUCCUUUUGAUAUAUGGGAUAUAAAAUAGUUGAACUCAAAAAGGGUGGUGAUUUACCUUGGAGUUGGGAGUUGGGGAGAUGUUGGUCAAAGGAUAUAAAAUGUCAGAUAGGAUGAGUAAGUUCAAAAGAUAAGUAUAAGAGAGAUUGUAGUUAACUGUAUUAUAUUAAAAUUGCUGAGAAUUAGAUUUUAAGUGUUCUUACAGCAAAAUAUGUAAGGCAAUGCAGUUAGCUCAAUUGAGCCACUUUACAAGAUACAUAUUUUUAAAAAUGUACACAAUAUAUGUAUUCAGUGUUUGUCAAUUAAAAAUAACUUUAAAAAUAUUAAAGAAGAGUAUCUGAGGAAAGCAUCUGGGAACAUGACAUCCAGGAAGCAGAGGGAGCUCCACUCUCCAAGGACAAAAUAUAUACUCCAAAGGACACCUCCAGUGAUCCAGCCUACUUGCUUGCAGUUACCACCCAGUUAAUAAUUAUUGGGAUUAACACACUGAUUGAGUUAAGGGUCUCGUAACCCAAUUAUUUCACUUCUAUAUGUCUCACACAUGAGCUUUUAGGGCAGACUUAAUACUUUAUAUCUAAACCAUAACAGUGUGGUUGUUUGGAAAGGCCAUUGUUUAUGAUUUUAUCUUUUGAAAAUAUAGAUAUCUUACUAUCUAAACUCUAGAUUCAAAUAGAUUCAGUUAGGGAACAGUAUUUAUAAUCAUAAUUCAUUAUUUCUAUGCCACAUUUUUUACCUUUGAAUACCUCUGCUAUUGGGUUGCACUUUACAGGGUUUUUUUAAAUUAGUGAUAUAUGACAGUAGAAAGCACUUUACCUCAUAUAUCUUAGAGUGCUUGAGUUUUGUGCUCAUUGAAAUACAUUUUCAGAUAUCAUAUUUUUAGAGAAGAAAGUUACUGGAUGAAACAAAGCAAUUAGGACUAAGAAGAUUCCUUUAUUAGUAGUCUUCUGGUUCUUGUCAGAUACUUUUAUUCACUUUAAAGCAACACUCUUUACUCUGAUAUCAUAUGUUAAGGACACUUUGAAAAGAAGUAUUUCCUGUUCGCUGAAGUUAAAGAAAUGCUAGAUAAAAUUUAUUACAUGGAUUUCCUUGCUUUGAGGUUUCUCACUGGUUUUGGCAUGAGGUGAACAUUUGACUCUGGUAAAUGAGGUUAUGAUAUUCAGUGUUUCCAAUUUACUUAGAGUAUAGAAAUCUUUGCUCACAACUUUUCAACUUGUUAUGUAUUCUUCAUAAAGAAAGAAAGAUAUACUUGAUUAGACUCUGUUUUCAGCAUAUUAUCUUAUGUUUCUCCCCUUACCAAGUUAUUGUGUCUCCUUUGUAUAAUCAGGGAGUUUGGCAUUGUUUGGUGUGGUAAGAUAGCAGGGAAGAAAUUUUUCUUCAAAGUUAUAGAGAAUGGUCAUCAAAGUUAGACUACAAACUAAAGAGGUUAACUCUUGUUUUAUAUUCUUUUGUAACAUCUGAGUAUUAGUUUUAAUGAUUGAAGAAAAUUACCGAUCAGAUUUUGGUAUAUCAAACAUUAAGAACUUUAAUUGACAAAAAUUAUGCUAUAUAGAGUUAGGGUAAUUAUAUUUCAUUUUUAUUUGAGAGGCUCAUUAGACUUUCUUAUACACUUAGAAUAGUGAUGAGUUUCUAAUCUUUAUGAUAAAAGAUUAGAAAAUGGUCUCCAGUUUGCUGCUACUCCUCUGAUAUACCCACAUGGUAAUGUUUUGGUAGGUAAAAAGUAGCAUGAUUUUUCUCAGUGAUACUCUUCCGUUUGAGUAUAUGGCUUAAUCUUUUUUAGGUCAUGAAUUCCUUUAAGACUUUAAAAUAAGCAAUAUUUUUUCCUCUGGAAAAUUACAGUGUUCACACAGUUGGUUUUAUGUUUAUUUUUUGUAGCAGUUGUAGAUCUACCUGAGGAGAUCCCUAGGCUCUUUCCUUAGAACCACCCCAGGGAACUUUUAACUGUUUCGCUUUUGAAAGAAAGAAAAAUGUAGCCUAAACACUCUUAUUAUUUUGAAUUAACCCUGUUGUGGAAAAGGUUGUGCUCUUUGACCUAUGUCAGUUUAGUUGGGUGCAAAAAUGUUUUGAGUAUUUACCAUGUGCCCUGGCACUGUUGUGAUAAUGUCUGUAUCUAGAAGAUAUAGCAAUAUACCAAGAAAGAAAAUUCCUCUUCAAGGAGAAAAUUUUGAGAUUUGUAAAGACUUUAGAUAACUAUCAAAUUGAACCUUUUCAUUUUAUAAAUGAGUGCACUAAGGCCCAAAAAGGUGUCUCAUCUUAGCCAUGGUCGGCCUCACCAUUCAUGAGUUGAUGAGUAAGACUUAGGUACUACAGGGACAAAGAGGAGAAAGACAUGAUAUUUGUUUCAAGGCCUUUACAGUAUAGACUAGAAGAAAGACACAUCAACAUAUUAUCAAGUCAUUUUUACUGAGUCCAGUGCUAGGUAAAAGUAGCUUGUAGUAUUUUUACCUGAUAGCUGGAGGUAUAAAAUUUCAUAUAAAGAGAAAUGAUCAGGACUUUUUGAAAGUCUUGAUUGUGUUAUGCUGAACCUAAAUUGUGUUUAAAGAGAAUAAGUUUAAGCAGAGAGAAUAUUGCUAGCAAACAAAUGGAGAAUGAAUACAUUUAUUUCAGAGCUGCAAAUUGCAAAUGAUUGUGUUAAAUUGUUGCCGAACAACAUAAGGUUUUUUUCCUGUGCCAUGCUUUUGUGUUAUUUUUGCUUUAGUCACUAUAGAUAGUAGUUAAUGUAUUCUGCAAUUAGUAUUUUCUGAGCAAUAUGGUAAUGGCAGUGAUUGUUCUUGAUUUGAUAUUUUUGUAUGUUUGUCUUUGCUCUCCCCACUCCCUAGAAGUAUUUGAUAAUUUGAAAAUAUUUUUAUUUAGGGCUUAUUCUUCAUUCAUACUCUUCCUUUCAGAUCAUCAAAUGUGAUUUAGUUAUUAAAAGUAUAUAAUGCAUCUAGUUUAAUUUUGCUAAAUUUUAUUAGAAAUUAAAGCUGAGUUUCAUAGAGG
rnacentral:lncRNA from 1 species